GGUAGUCCAGUUGGUUGGGCGCCAGACCGCAGAGCGGGAAAUCGCGGGUUCGAAUCCCGGCAGGACCA